rnacentral:rRNA from 1 species
CUGCCCAAGCAGGAGAGACCAGCGAAC